rnacentral:rRNA from 1 species
AUUGAACGCUGGCGGCAGGCUUAACACAUGCAAGUCGAGCGGAAACGAUGGGAGCUUGCUCCCAGGCGUCGAGCGGCGGACGGGUGAGUAACACUUAGGAAUCUACCUAGUAGUGGGGGAUAGCUCGGGGAAACUCGAAUUAAUACCGCAUACGACCUACGGGAGAAAGGGGGCAGUUUACUGCUCUCGCUAUUAGAUGAGCCUAAGUCGGAUUAGCUAGGUGGUGGGGUAAAGGCCUACCAUGGCGACGAUCUGUAGCUGGUCUGAGAGGAUGAUCAGCCACACCGGGACUGAGACACGGCCCGGACUCCUACGGGAGGCAGCAGUGGGGAAUAUUGGACAAUGGGGGCAACCCUGAUCCAGCCAUGCCGCGUGUGUGAAGAAGGCCUUUUGGUUGUAAAGCACUUUAAGCAGUGAAGAAGACCAUAUGGUUAAUACCCAUAUGCGAUGACAUUAGCUGCAGAAUAAGCACCGGCUAACUCUGUGCCAGCAGCCGCGGUAAUACAGAGGGUGCAAGCGUUAAUCGGAAUUACUGGGCGUAAAGCGAGCGUAGGUGGCUUGAUAAGUCAGAUGUGAAAUCCCCGGGCUUAACCUGGGAACUGCAUCUGAUACUGUUAAGCUAGAGUAGGUGAGAGGGAAGUAGAAUUCCAGGUGUAGCGGUGAAAUGCGUAGAGAUCUGGAGGAAUACCGAUGGCGAAGGCAGCUUCCUGGCAUCAUACUGACACUGAGGCUCGAAAGCGUGGGUAGCAAACAGG